CUUUUUGAGUUGUAAGGCGAUUAAGAAAAUGCGUUGGUGGCACGGCGCGACCUUAUAGAAAAGCAGGCUAUAAACCGGAAAGCAGCACACGCAGAGGGAUUAAAUUCUUUUCAGAUUUAAGUCCCCGGUGGGAAAAGGCGAAAAAGAGGCUAGCUGUCGUCGGCGUGCUUUGUAGAUUUCGCCCGAGCGAUAGCGCUGCAAAAACUGCCCCGACUUUUUGCGUGCGCAAUCUUCAUUUGACAAAGACGUAUGAAUCAGAGUGGCGCGACGCAAGGUGUAUCUCUUUAAUGUGUAUUGAGCCUCUGCUGUUGCUCGCCGCGUGCGUGUGUGUAUGAGAAAGAAAGAAUGAAAGAGGAAAAAGGGUGGAAAAGAGCUGCCGGCCGAAAUGGCUUUCGCUGCUUUUUGCGCAAAACACACACACGCAGCGUAACAAAUUGCCUAGUAGCGUCCGUUUUAAAUAAUAAUACAAGAGUAAAAUAUAUAUACAGGCGACCGUCGGCUCUCGGCGCGAUUUAUCAUUGCUGACUUUUUCCUUUCUCUGUUCGCAGGUAAAGCAUGUUGGCCGCAUUAUUCAUGUUGCAAAGACGGCGGAUUCGGCGCUGACUCUUUGUGUAAUUAUUCCUCUCCACGGACCCGAAUGCAGGGAAGUGAGUGAAAGUGUCCGGGUUGUUCCGCAGCGUCCGUGAUUUCACGGAAAUUACAAUUUCGGCCUCUCGUCAACCCUCGGUGAGCCAUAAAAAUAUCCAGCGCAGCCGGGUAUUUACGUCUGGCGGAGUAUGUGAACGGAUUUACUGAAUGGUUGGCCAAACAAUGGAUGGGAGCAGUGCGUUAUGUGAGUUCAAAAUACACACAAACAAAAGUGGAUAGCUGCGAAAUGAGACAAGAGCGGAGCUUUACCGAUUCCGCGAAAUUCUAUCUCUGCCUCAUUCUCCACUCCAAUUGGAUGUUUUUGUUUUUCGUUUUACGCUAAGGUCAAAUGCAAAUAUUUAAUUCCCACAGAGGGAACAGGUGCAUCGGGCACCACGGGUAAAACUUUGGCCCAUCUUGCCUUAGUAUAUCGAAUGAAAAUUGAGCAGAGAGACACCAUUUGCAAGUUUGUAAAGUAAAUAAGGGGGUGGGCCCGUCUCGUUGGUGUUUUAUUACUCAGCAGCCAGUCCGUCUUCCUUGUAUAUGAAGUAUUAGACCACGCGCAAUGUCUCCUUUGCAAUUUUGGUAAUGUGUUUUCUAUGUUUUGACAUCUUAUUUUGGUUACUACUGCCGCCGGUGCCGUGUUGUUGGCCCUAAAUUUUUAUUACGCUGCACGCACGCGGCAGCCGAGUUUUAUGGGCGGCUGCUGCGAUACAGAAAUACGCCACAAAACCAAACCUUGACACCGUCGUAAUUUUUAGUGCACGCCGCCUCACCUUUCGCAUUCCUCACCGGGCACGUGCGUAUCUUUUUCUCCCGCCCGUCUGCCUGCCCGCCCGCCUGCCUGCCUUCCUUCCUUCGCCACACGCCGAGAGGGUGAAUUAUAUGGGCCGGCCAACUGUUUGUGUUGUCUUAGGGGGCGGUCUUGGCCGAUACAGGGGGUGGAAAUGUCAUUUUGCCCGCUGCACUUAAAGUGACCGGAUAUUGCCCGGCCGAGUCAUAAUAAGGCUCGAAUUCGCGCGCCGUGUAUGCUUUGCCGGAGCACAAGGACCCUAAUAUUGUGUUAUGUGGCGCCACAAAGUGUAUGCCAGGGCCACCUUUUAAUUUAAUUGCCGUCACCCUAGCCAGCAAACACACUCACUAAUGUAGCGCGCCGUGCACGCGUCCCCGGCAAUUUCAGCAUCUAUUUGUCUCGUGUGCUGCCGCAAACCGGACUUUUAUCAAGCAGAGCGGGCUGCCGGUCUUUGACCCCCGCUUAAUGGGGGCCGACUUCAUCUACUUGAGUAAAUAUCACAGAGUUAUGUGCGGGCUAACGGGGGAACACAUAUAAAGGCAAAUGAGAUGCGAGUGGACCUCAAGGACGAGUUGUAUUAAUCAAAAUACUUAGGUUGCAAUUUAGAGAAACUCUUGAGAAUAAAAUUUUAACGGUUCUGAAAAGGCAAAAGUUCCAUCUCCAUUACUUUCGAAAUUGACUCUCUUCUGAAAACAUCAUAAAAUAUCUACAAACGUCAACACUGCUCUGUCUCAAUCAAUCUCUCGCCCCAGAAACUUCUAUAUAUACGUAUUUUUCCCUCUUGAGCGAGAGCUAAAAUAUUCUGCUGCACUGGUGCGCGCGCGACAACUCCCCCUUUACAUGUAGUAAAAAUUAUGGUAUCAGCUUGAUUAAAAUUGCUCUGGCCGCGUUUUAUUGCUUUCCCAUCCGAGCACAUUUUCCACCCGAGCAGCAGAAUGCAGCGUGGCAAUAAAACCGGCCAACUUUUGUGUGUCAGUGUAUUAUAAAAAUUGCCGUGGCCUCAUUUGAGGCCCGCACGCAGCUGCAUCGAUUGCGUGAGCGCCAAGAAUCUUCCUUACUCCGUCUCUCCGCGCAGAAACACACACAAAUCACAGUGUAUUCACGCUGCGAAGAUGCGAGCGAGCGAACGAACGAGCAAAGAAAGGUGUGGCGAAGCAAAAGUCGCCCGCCGAGAACUGUCAAUUUGAGCGUGUGGCCAGGAUGAGGGUGACGACGACGGACGUGUUUGUAUUUACUUUUCCAUACACCCGAGGUGAAGUCUUCGGCCGCUCUCUGUGUUCUGGCUCUCGCGCGCGUGUGCGUGUGCCUCAAUGUUGACUCGCUAGAUCAAACUUUUCAAUCCUAACUCUGCGAGAGAGCCACGUUUUGCUUCAGUGCACCCAAGCUGCCGUCAAUUUGGCCUGAUUGAACUGUACACACACAUCUUUUCCGACUAUGUGUGUGUGCGUGUGCCGGCCAGCCGGCCGAGGCUAACCUUGGCUCGGACGGGAAAAAUCCGCAACUUGAUACUUUUUACUUUCUCCUUUUGAAGUACGCCCAUAUAGAAAAUUGGCAGGCUUGUUGAGUUCUCUAUCCCUUUCGGGUCUGCUGAAUUUCUCCCUGCGAGAAAGCGGGAAAAUAGCCGCAAAUUCUUCCAAUCCAAAUAACCCAAACUUUUGACGUGUCCGCCAAUCAAUUUGAGACGCGAAAAUUGAAUCAGCGCUAUUUUUAUGUAUCUAAGCUACAGGUGAGAAGAGCAACUUAAUUUUAGGCUUCACCCUAUUUGAAAUACAUGAAAAGUUCGACCACCUAUAUUCUUCUAACAAGGAAAAAUGAUUGGUUUUACGUUCAUCCCCUGUUAUUUUCCCCCGCUGGUAGAAUCCUCUUGUAAGACACGCACGUGCGGAAAGAAGAAACUGCUGCAGCUCACAAUAUAACCGGCGCAUCUAUUCAACUGCAGUUGAACACGUUCACAUACAAGGCAACCUCUUAUUAAACGAAAUAGCAUUUGCCGCUGCCGGCGUUCCGACGAGAGUUGCAAUAGUCCAUUUAAAAGCUCUUGAAAGAAAGGAGCGGAGAAGUGGAGGGAAGGCGGGGUGAACUAGAUUCUCAAUAUAAUCAAAGGGAACGCUUGUUCCUCCUGGUAAUUAACUCAAGUCGGCGGAGGAGCAGCGCUCGAGGAAAAUUGAAGCGCAAUAAAAAAACGGGAGCACCAAUCUCGAGUGCAGCGCUCAAGAAAUGUGUUUUAAAUUAGAUCGAGAUAUGUGAGAGAGUGAUCUCAUUUCACAAGUAUGCCGUGAUUUUAAGCGCGCGCGCGCGAGCUCUCUUCUUCUCUUGGCACACAGAUGCAUCCGGCUCGAAUUACGCGAAAUUCCGGCUCGGGGCAUGAAAAAAGCGGGCGAGCAAACAACUUUGCUGCAAAAGAAAAGCCGCGGGAGUGUCACAAGAAAAGCAUUUUCAAGUUUUAAUGUGAUAAGCUCUUCAUUACGGACCAUCAUCACGUCUGCCUGCAUUGAAUCGUCAGGUCUGCCUUGAAUAUUUUACGCUAAUGUAGCUGUGCUGCAGACUAAUGAAGCUUGAGCUUUAAAUUUUCCAUGAAAACAAGCAGCAGACGCGCGUCUCUCGUGAAUAAACCACUUGCACGUACGUGAAUAAUGGCACCGGCCGUAUAUCUCGGCAGGUGGGAGAUGUAUGCAACCCGCUCGUCCUGUUUGCACAGCGGCGCUGCAUAACCUAUCAAUCUCCGCCUCUCAAUUUGCGCAACUUGUCUGACAAAUCGACGCUUCUUGUUCGCUAUUAGUAGAUCAUACGCCACUCGGGAAUAAUAAUGGACGCUGAAGCACGGUUUGAUUAAUAAGAACAGACUUCAACAAUUUAUUCUGAUUUAUUUUUAUAACGAAUGCUGAAUAUUAAACACGAGAAGCAGUGCACAAUAGACACAUGAUACAAGAAAGAUACGCUUAUCUCGCGUUUGCUUUCAUGGCUUGAGACGAAAUUUUAUUGUUAUUAUCACAGUCGGGGGAAGAGUAAAAUUUAGUUCAUUUAUCACUGUAUUGCACUCACAGGAGUGAUAUACAUGUAAAAGCUACUUUCAAUUGUUUGACCAGCGCAGGGUUGCCGAAAGCUCUGGUUAGCCAUCACUCUAUUAAAAGCAUCAGAAUCCGGAAGGGGUAAUCGUAAAAAGAACUAGUAAGCAACAAAGUUUGUUGCGUCUGCCAGAUUCCAUUACCUGAUGUAAUUUUUUCCUCUCUCUUAAAUGUCUUUUUGGUUCGUUUAACUCGUUUAGGGAAAUUCCAGAAGUGCUCUUCAUUGGCUUAAUAAUAAUUGAUACACAGAACAGCGCUAUUAAAUCGCACUAGGCUAAUGGUUUCCGUGAAAACGUCUUUACACAGCUUUAAUGGUGUAGCACUAGAAGGAGCAGUUGCGGGCCAUGAUGAGGGCGAAAUCGUCUGAGCGGAUAAAAAUUAGUGCUUGUGCGCAAUCGUCUAGCAAAGGAAGAUGAUGAGACGGGAACGAGUCACGAAAAUUACUUUCGGAGCUAUCCUGCUGGUGCAGCAGAAUUUUGUUGAUUAAAAUUUCCAUCCGCGGUCGCAAAGGAGUCGGAAACUCGAGUGCGUAGAAAGAAACGCUUAUUGAAUCAAAUGCCGUUCGACGGCGGCCGUGAUUAAUUUUCCAUCAAUAACAGCCAGCCGACUGGCGGGCUGGCGAAGUCGACGAUUAGGGGGUGGAGGGAAGUGGUGGCUGGGAUACGGAACAGUGUGUAUGUGUGUGUGCCCAGACAUUAUGCGAACUCAUGGAUUCCAUUAUAAAACACACAUUUCGCACGCCAUCGACGGCAAUUUUAUCACUGCUAGCCAAGCCUGCGACUAAAAUUCAAUCGCGUCACGUGUAAUAUUUACCCCGCGCGGCGAUUAUAAAAUAGGCUUCUCUUUCUCUGUUAAACACACAUAUAUACGCCCCCUCUCGCACCCCCCGCGAGCAGAGUGUGUGCGUGUAAACGCCGAAUUACCGAGAAAGACAUAAAAAGUGGGCGCGUUGAAGGAGGAAGCCAUGCGUGCAUAAUAUUUGCAUUUGUGUGGAAAAUAUCAGUAGCGUUUUAUCAAAAACUUUCUACCCCUUUUUCCGCAAGCAGGGAGAUGAAAAAUGCGAUGUGAAUUUUACUGCCGCGUACUUGAAUUUUUAUUGAAGUCUCUCGCGCUGUAAAUGCAGUCGAGGCAGUGCGCGGGAGAGAGUGAGUGCAAUAUUUUCCAGAUUACACACAAACACUCGCUCGCGCGCGGCGCGCGUUGUUUUCCGCCCUGGCAUAAAUACUCUCGCGCUCGUCUGCGAUGGCGGUUGGCUUUGAUUUCGGCGCGCCGGCAGCAUCAAAAAUCAAUUUCGGCGCAGGUUGAAAUAAAAAUAGCAGUAUUACUCCGCUAAAAUCGCCCACGCAAAAACACACCCCGCCAGCAGCAGUCGCGGCUGCCUGCUUAUUAAUGAUUCUCAAUGGCUGAUAAAUAUUUAUGGUGCGGCGUAAAAAUUUAUUAUUGAUUUAGAUAAAAGUAACAAAUUUUAAAUUGCCUUUUGCACCCGGAGAGUCGUAAAGUGUGUACGCGAGAUCGGGAAAAUUGGUGUUGCUGCCGCUGCACCGCCAGCUUUUAGGGCGCGUUUUAUUUUUAUUUGGUGCGCCAGUGUGUUUGUACUUUGCUCGGCGAAAUGGAGUGAGUGUGCUGCCGGGGUAAUUUCCACUAGAGCCGCUUUGUUCGGCCGAAUUUUUGCGUACGCGCCUCAAUUUGCUAAUUCGACCUUGAAAUUCCACUGGCGCUGAGCGUUAUAAAGCGACGCCCGAAAGGCUUUUACAUUUUUUUAAUCUAUUGUCAUAUUGUUUUUCUAAUUCGUCCAUUAGGCGUGAAUAAUGUCACACAGGACAUGCGAAAAUUACUCCCCUGAUUUUAUGGGGUUUGUUGGCGAGCUGCAGAUAAUAAUGCUCGAGUCCACUGACUAAAAGACGACGUGAAUCGCCGCCCCAGCCAACGCGAGCACAUUCAAUCCGGCGGAAAGAAAAGCUGGAGCCGUGCACAAACAAACAGACCGAACAAAGGCAUGCAGGAAAACGCAAAUUAACGCGUUGGCAGGAGUCGUUUAGUGUUGUGCGCGUAAACAAGCCUCUUUCAUCAAGUGCAAAUUUAUCGAGCCGCGCAAACUUUUGACCUUAUCAUCAAACGCGUGCUUGCUGUGUAGAAGGGAGCACCACCUUAACAACGCAACCGGCAUUGUCUGGUGCACUGGCGGAGGAUACCGGCGAAAUUCGUAGGUGUUUGCUUCGCUCGCUCUCGCCAUUGUCGACCUGUGAAUGGCUUAAUCUCACUCGCAUACAAACGCGCGCGCGCCCAUAAUGAAAUAGAGAGUUGUACGGCACACAUUAGCAUUAGGGGUGAGAUUCUCAGUCGCUUUGAUAAUGUUUGAAAAAGGGGCUAAUCUCUGUGAUGCAGUGUACAUCGGAGAAACAACUUGGUUUGCAGUCAAAAGACUGGCAAGAGACAGA